ACGGGAGGCAGCAGUGGGGAAUAUUGCACAAUGGGGGAAACCCUGAUGCAGCGACGCCGCGUGAGCGAUGAAGUAUUUCGGUAUGUAAAGCUCUAUCAGCAGGGAAGAUAAUGACGGUACCUGACUAAGAAGCUCCGGCUAAAUACGUGCCAGCAGCCGCGGUAAUACGUAUGGAGCAAGCGUUAUCCGGAUUUACUGGGUGUAAAGGGAGCGUAGGCGGCAUGGCAAGUCUGAUGUGAAAGGCAGGGGCUCAACCCCUGGACUGCAUUGGAAACUGUCAAGCUAGAGUGUCGGAGGGGUAAGUGGAAUUCCUAGUGUAGCGGUGAAAUGCGUAGAUAUUAGGAGGAACACCAGUGGCGAAGGCGGCUUACUGGACGAUCACUGACGCUGAGGCUCGAAAGCGUGGGGAGCAAACAGGAUUAGAUACCCUGGUA
rnacentral:rRNA from 1 species